UUUUAAUGUAACCAUGAGUUUUUACGUUUAAUUUUAAUCGUCCAUCUUAUUUAAAAAAUUUUAAAAUUAGUAUUUUUAUUGUUAUGAGAUGAUAAAAUAUAAAUAAUAUUUUACUCGUGAUUUAUAUUUUUAAUUUUUUUAAAUAAGACGGACGAUUAAAAUUGGACAUGUUAAAUAAUGGUUGUAUUUAAA
rfam:Oryza sativa Japonica Group DNA, chromosome 1, cultivar: Nipponbare, complete sequence.